rnacentral:rRNA from 1 species
UACGUAGGGCGCAAGCGUUGUCCGGAUUUAUUGGGCGUAAAGAGCUCGUAGGCGGUCUGUCGCGUCGGCUGUGAAACCCCGAGGCUCAACCUCGGGCCUGCAGUCGAUACGGGCAGACUAGAGUGUGGUAGGGGAGACUGGAAUUCCUGGUGUAGCGGUGAAAUGCGCAGAUAUCAGGAGGAACACCGGUGGCGAAGGCGGGUCUCUGGGCCAUAACUGACGCUGAGGAGCGAAAGCGUGGGGAGCGAACAGG